rnacentral:rRNA from 1 species
UGGGGAAUUUUGGACAAUGGGCGAAAGCCUGAUCCAGCAAUGCCGCGUGUGUGAAGAAGGCCUUCGGGUUGUAAAGCACUUUUGUCCGGAAAGAAAUCCUUGGCUCUAAUACAGUCGGGGGAUGACGGUACCGGAAGAAUAAGCACCGGCUAACUACGUGCCAGCAGCCGCGGUAAUACGUAGGGUGCAAGCGUUAAUCGGAAUUACUGGGCGUAAAGCGUGCGCAGGCGGUUUGCUAAGACCGAUGUGAAAUCCCCGGGCUCAACCUGGGAACUGCAUUGGUGACUGGCAGGCUAGAGUAUGGCAGAGGGGGGUAGAAUUCCACGUGUAGCAGUGAAAUGCGUAGAGAUGUGGAGGAAUACCGAUGGCGAAGGCAGCCCCCUGGGCCAAUACUGACGCUCAUGCACGAAAGCGUGGGGAGCAAACAGGAUUAGAUACCCUGGUAGUCCACGCCCUAAACGAUGUCAACUAGUUGUUGGGGAUUCAUUUCCUUAGUAACGUAGCUAACGCGUGAAGUUGACCGCCUGGGGAGUACGGUCGCAAGAUUAAAACUCAAACGAAUUGACGGGGUCAUA